rnacentral:rRNA from 1 species
CCCUACGGGGCGCAGCAGGCGCGAAAACUUUACAAUGCGGGAAACCGUGAUAAGGGGACACCGAGUGCCAGCAUCAUAUGCUGGCUGUNCCAGGUGUUUAAACUACACCUGUUAGCAAGGGCCGGGCAAGACCGGUGCCAGCCGCCGCGGUAACACCGGCGGCCCGAGUGGUGAUCGUGAUUAUUGGGUCUAAAGGGUCCGUAGCCGGUUUGGUCAGUCCUCCGGGAAAUCUGAUAGCUCAACUAUUAGGCUUUCGGGGGAUACUGCCAGGCUUGGAACCGGGAGAGGUAAGAGGUACUACAGGGGUAGGAGUGAAAUCUUGUAAUCC